UACGUAGGGGGCAAGCGUUGUCCGGAAUCACUGGGCGUAAAGGGCGCGUAGGCGGCUUUUCAAGUCAGGGGUGAAAUCCGGCAGCUUAACUGUCGAAGUGCCCUUGAUACUGAGGAGCUCGAGGGAGGUAGGGGUGUGGGGAACUUCCGGUGGAGCGGUGAAAUGCGUUGAUAUCGGAAGGAACGCCGGUGGCGAAAGCGACGCACUGGACCUCUUCUGACGCUGAGGCGCGAAAGCCAGGGGAGCAAACGGG
rnacentral:rRNA from 1 species